UUCUGUCUCGCCCAUCCCGUUGUUCCAAUAUUCCAACAACAAGUGAUUAUUGAGCAAUGCGCAUGUGCGGGACAGAC
rfam:Caenorhabditis brenneri strain PB2801 C_brenneri-6.0.1_Cont8.37, whole genome shotgun sequence.